rnacentral:rRNA from 1 species
CGUAGGGCAAGCGUUGUCCGGAUUAUUGGGCGUAAAGGGCGCGUAGGCGGCCUCUUAAGUCAGUUGUGAAAGGUCCCGGCUCAACCGGGAGUUGCAGCUGAAACUGGAGGCUUGAGUGCAGGAGAGGAGAGCGGAAUUCUCGGUGUAGCGGUGGAAUGCGUAGAGAUCGGGAGGAACACCAGUGGCGAAGGCGGCUCUCUGGCCUGUUACUGACGCUGAGGCGCGAAAGCGUGGGAGCGAACAGGAUU